GGAGGGUGCAAGCGUUGUUCGGAAUUACUGGGCGUAAAGAGCGUGUAGGCGGCUUUUUAUGUCGGGUGUGAAAGCCCUGGGCCCAACCCAGGAAGUGCGCCCGAAACUGAAAAGCUUGAGUACGAUAGAGGAGGACGGAAUUCCCAGUGUAGAGGUGAAAUUCGUAGAUAUUGGGAAGAACACCGGUGGCGAAAGCGGUUUUCUGGAUCGAUACUGACGCUGAGACGCGAAAGCGUGGGGAGCAAACAGGAUUAGAUACCCUGGUAGUCCACGCCGUAAACGAUGGAUACUAGUUGUUGGAAGCUUUUAAACUUUCAGUGACGACGCUAACGCAUUAAGUAUCCCGCCUGGGGAGUACGGCCGCAAGGUUA
rnacentral:rRNA from 1 species